rnacentral:rRNA from 1 species
AUUGAACGCUGGCGGCAGGCCUAACACAUGCAAGUCGAGCGGCAGCGGGAAAGUAGCUUGCUACUUUUGCCGGCGAGCGGCGGACGGGUGAGUAAUGCCUGGGAAAUUGCCCAGUCGAGGGGGAUAACAGUUGGAAACGACUGCUAAUACCGCAUACGCCCUACGGGGGAAAGCAGGGGACCUUCGGGCCUUGCGCGAUUGGAUAUGCCCAGGUGGGAUUAGCUAGUUGGUGAGGUAAUGGCUCACCAAGGCGACGAGCCCUAGCUGGUCUGAGAGGAUGAUCAGCCACACUGGAACUGAGACACGGUCCAGACUCCUACGGGAGGCAGCAGUGGGGAAUAUUGCACAAUGGGGGAAACCCUGAUGCAGCCAUGCCGCGUGCGUGAAGAAGGCCUUCGGGUUGUAAAGCACUUUCAGCGAGGAGGAAAGGUUGAUGCCUAAUACGUAUCAACUGUGACGUUACUCGCAGAAGAAGCACCGGCUAACUCCGUGCCAGCCGCCGCAGUAA